UUCUUCUUUCGAGACUGCAAGUCAGAUUCCUCAGGACCCCAGUCCGAGUGAUAUCUUUACCACUAAAGAGGGCAGGAUAGCAUAAAUGCAAGAAGAAAUGGCACCCAUGUUGCCCGUCAAUACUAGAAGAAUUUAAGCAUUGUUUCCUCCAACUGAGAAAAAUCAAUGUGUCCUAUGAAUAUCACCAAUAUGGGAAACAACAACAACAAUUUCUUUGUUCAUUUAUCUAGCAAUGAUUUAUUGAGUCUUUACCGCACAGAAGUCCAUGUGCUAGUAACUGGAGAGCCAAGUGGUGAGCCAAAUCCAGAUCUGACCAGUGCCCUACUGGAGCUUACAGGCUAGUGAGAAAAGUGGACAUUAAUGAAAAUAUCACACCAGAAAUGAAUCUUCCUGGAAAUACAGAGACUCUUCUAUUGAAUUUGCACGCAAGAUUUUUAACUUCUAUCUGCAGCUCCCGUAAGAGCGUAAGAUGAUUUCAAAUUACCAGUCUUGGUUGCCGGUUGCUAUCUCUUGGUUGCUACAUCGUGGAAUAUAUUAAAUUGCAUAUGGUAAUAUAUGUAAUGUGUGUACAAAAUGCCUGGCAUUUAGUAGGUGAGAAGCAGACGUCAGUUUUAUUCCCAGGCUUGUUUACUUUGCCACAAGGGAAAAAGAAGUCUGAUGUUCUGUCUGAGAUACUGCAGCUCGCUGGCUGUUUCCAAAAUUCUGGAUUAUGUCCAGCUUUUAAACUUAGACUGUGUUAGCUUUGUUAUGAAGAGGCCACUGUGCAUUUUAUGUUACUCAGAGAGUUGGAAAUGCCCAACUGCUCCAUUUCAAUGGAACCAAGACAGAGAUUUUCUUUUCUCAUGCUUAAAAAAGAGCCCCUGGAACAAUAUUCUUCAAACUGGAAUCUACUCCUGAAGGAAGAAAGGUGAUCCAGACAUAUUUUCCGGUAGGGAUGUGCUGAGUGUGGUAAGAACGUGAGAAAUCCCUGAGUCCUCCUGGAGCCACAGAUGAGCAGGGAGCGGGUGCAGGAGGCUGUCCAUGGACCAGGCACUCGAUGCCCCAAGAUCAGAGCCGGGCACCAUCGGACUUUGGUAAAGGAACAUGAGGAAGUGAUGUGCAGAUCAACAGUUUGAUCUUGCUUUCACCCGAAUGUUCUUGUCUCUGUAGAUUCUGUGACAUGAGCAGAAUCCUGCUCUCCAGGAGCAGGUGGUGAGGAGGAACCCUCCCAGCGUACUUCUGAGGGAUGCAAGGCGGAUAGGACGGCUCCGAGGACUGGGAGGUGGGUCUAAAUGUGAAAGUGUGAACUUGCUCGGCAAUUCAGUCUCUUAGCGGGUGUUGAGCGAGGGCUGCCGUGGGGUGUCUGUUGUGUGGCCCGGGGGUUUCCCUAUGGGCCCAGAGCACCUUGCUUUAAUUCAUGUGUGUUUGUGCUCCCUCAAAACGGUUCUGCACUGGAGACUGAACUCACUUUCAGACUUUAGAGGCAGAAAAGGAGGCCACCUAGAAAGAGGAAAAAAUAUGUACAAUAUUCAUGCAUUUGA